UCUAACCAUGGUUAUAUUCAUGCUGUUUUGAGUGAACUGUUAAUACAAAAACAAAGAAAAUUAACCCUAGACGCAUCAAAUGUUGCAGAUCAAAUUUACAUUUAUAUUGUUAUGAGAGGGAGAGAGAGAGGGGUCAAAUACUUCAUCUUGCACGCAGCACCUGCACUUAAAUGUCAAGAUGUUUGUAAGAGUUUGAGAUAUGCAUGCCAUUUCAUUGCUGCAUUUUCCAACCAGUAUAAACACUUUCAGUGUUGUCCCAAACAAGGGGGACAAGGGGUUGCAAAAGAAGCACAAAAAUCAAUGAAAACAUUUGGAACAUAG